rnacentral:rRNA from 1 species
UACGGAGGGGGCUAGCGUUGUUCGGAAUUACUGGGCGUAAAGCGCACGUAGGCGGCUUUGUAAGUUAGAGGUGAAAGCCCGGGGCUCAACUCCGGAAUUGCCUUUAAAACUGCAUCGCUUGAAUCCAGGAGAGGUGAGGUGGAAUUCCGAGUGUAGAGGUGAAAUUCGUAGAUAUUACGGAAGAACACCAGUGGCGAAGGCGGCUCACUGGACUGGUAUGACGCUGAGGUACGAAAGCGUGGGGAGCAAACGGG